rnacentral:rRNA from 1 species
UACGUAGGGGGCUAGCGUUGUCCGGAAUCAUUGGGCGUAAAGCGCACGUAGGCGGCUUUACAAGUCAGAGGUGAAAGCCCGGAGCUCAACUCCGGAAUUGCCUUUGAGACUGUAUCGCUUGAACACGGGAGAGGUGAGUGGAAUUCCGAGUGUAGAGGUGAAAUUCGUAGAUAUUCGGAAGAACACCAGUGGCGAAGGCGGCUCACUGGUCCGGUACUGACGCUGAGGUGCGAAAGCGUGGGGAGCAAACAGG